GCGGGCGUGGCGGAAUUGGCAGACGCGCCAGAUUUAGGUUCUGGUGGGGUAACUCGUGAAGGUUCAAGUCCUUUCGCCCGCA
rnacentral:tRNA from 1 species